rnacentral:lncRNA from 1 species
CGGGGAAGGUCAAAUGCCUCUGAGCCAGAGUUUCUUAUCUGAGCAAGGGAAUAUGAACCUGUUAUUGCAGCUCUUUUAACAGCUAAAUGAGAUAAUAAAUGUAAGCCUCCUUGAAAAAUUUCUGGCUAUUAUUAUUCUACCAUAGGCAGUGAUUUGCUGUGCUAGGAAACCAGAAACCUUGAGCUGCAAAAACAUUUUUUAAUUGUAUUAACAAAUUAUAAACAAAUCUAAGCUCCAUCUUGUCUGCCUUUCCAAGGAGCUUGGCUCCAGGCUCCACACUCACUCAGCUUUCUUCCCCAAGUAGUAAAAACUAGUGUCACUUAGGUUUUGCUCCCUAAUUAAUCGUGCUACAAUUAGCAUUAUGAUAGAUCAUUCUUCGGAGGCAAUUAUUGCAAUAGGUGCUCUAGUAAUGGAGGUGAUGCUGGUGGAGGUAUGGUGAAGGGAGUCAUGGAGGAGGAAGUAAAGAUGGUGGAGGUGGGGAUGGAGGGAGUAUGGUGAUGGUGGUAUAGCUGAUGGUAAAUCUGGUGAUGGAGAGAUGGUGGUGGACUCCUACUUAGCAGCCUUCAGAGACUCCCCCUGCCUGAAAGAUAAAUCCUAAACUCCUGAGCUUGAUAAAGUGUUUCAUGACUCAGCUGCUGCUUACUUCUUUAGCCUCGCCUUUCCAUACACAUACACACACACACUCACUCACUAAGCUCUUCCACAUUACAAUUCUCCAUGAGCCUAAGACACAAUGCACCAUCAUUGUAUUCUGCCUUUUCCUUAUUAUGCUUCUCAUCUUUUUCUUCCCACCAGACACACUGCUUUUCGGUCUUCCAUACCCAGGAAGAGUUAUAGCAUCUCUUAUGAGGAGUUUUUUGACUCUCAAGGCAAAGUUAAGUUUCCUUCCUCAACACUCUCAUGGCAUUUUGUGCAACUCUAACAUUUUUGACCUGGCUUGUAACAGGCGGAUGGAGUCUCCUUGCCCACCAGGGGUGGCCUUAAAAUUGACUUCUCCAAGGAUACCUUUUAGACUGAUCCAAGACCUCCGACCCAGUGCCCUUGGGCUGAGCCAGCGGUCACUCCAUUACUGUUUGCAGUGCCUACUGUGCAGUCAAGUGGCAGAGCUCAGACAGCCGGUAACAAAGCCAUUUUUAACAUAUAUCCAGAAGAGUGAAAAACCAUAAGUGAAAUUUCAUAAACAAAUUUCCAAUAAAUAUAAAUGAAUAUACUCACGUAACCAGCACCAGGUCAAGAAACAGUAUUGCCAGCAUCCAGAAGCCCAUCAACAAUUGUAUUUUAAAAUGCAAUUAACUAUUGAAACUUAUGAUUUUAAAAAUGAGAUGUCAAGGAGUCCUCAUUGUGACUCAACAGGUUAUGAAUCCAAGCAGCACCCAUGAGGAUGUGGGUUCAAUCCCUGGCCAAGCUUGGUGAGUUGGGGAUCCACAUUACUUUGAGCUGUGGUGUAGGUAGCAGAUGAGGCUCAGAUCUGGCGUUGCAAUGGUGGCUAUGGCAUAGGCUGACAGCUGCAGCUCUGAUUCAACCCCUUGCCUGGGAACUUCCAUAUUCCACACUAAAAAAAUGGAGGGAAAUUAAAAAAUAAAAGUGAGAUCUCAAAAUCAAAUAUGGCAAUAGCUACCAGCUUUUCAAAGACAUGUUAGACCUGGGCUGUGCAGGUGUCCUCCCAGGUCUUGGAACUGAGCCAGAUCAGAAGAAGAAGGUACACUAUCUAAUCAGUGAAACCAAUUAGAAAAACAAGGCCAUGUGGACUAUCAGGACAUUCCAGGUAGAGGCUAAUAGGCGUGAAAUGGACAGCAACCACUGUUAGUUGUAUCUUUGCUAUGGACUUCCCAGAGGCUACCCCAGGGACACCACUGAUGGAGAAGUCUGCAUCUUAAAGAAGAGGAAGCUGAGUAUAUGGCCCACAUCUUCCUGUUAUCAUGCUCAGAAGCCCCAGAACUAGGAUUUCAAUCCAUCAGACUCCCAAGGACAUCCUUCUAGAAGGAAGAGCAUAGCAAAGGUCCUGGGGUGGAAAUGAGGACUGUUAAGUCUUGAGGCAUUUCUACUCUUGGGCAUUUCUUCUGACACCCCAUUGAGGGAACGAUGGCAUUAGUGAUGGAGGGGUGGGUAGCAUCCCACCAGAGAGGAAGGGUCCUGAGAACUGGUAGAGGACUUUGGAUGGAGGGCUUCUCCCACUAGCUACUUCUCCCAACCAGCUACUUUGUCCCUCCUGCCAUUCCAGGUUUGAUGGUUAAGAGUUCAUGGUGGGGACUUUAGGUGUGUGUGUGGGGGGGGGGGAUGUGAUAUGUAUUUUUAUUUUGCAUUUCUGCAAAUGUCUUGAUGUUUCAUGUGGGUGUAUUUGGUAGUCCCUGCUGCCCGGGUUUUUCCAUUAGAGGAAAUGUACUGGCUCUGUUAUUGACAUAUCGCCUUGGCCCCAGCAUCACACAGGUGUUAGGGAUGGCAGCCUGACCUUCUGACCUAACAUGCUUACAGGACAAGCACCAGCUCAGCAGCCCACAUGAGGCAGUGGGACAACAAGCCUGUGUCACGUCUCUGUGUGUGCAUGGAUUCCAGCACAUUCCUCCCUGAUUUCGAGAGGCCCCUGUAUUCCAAGGAGGAGCACCAGGCAGUACAGUGCCUACUACCCCCUCUGGCUGAACUUUAAGGCCCUUCCACGGGGCCUGCCCCCCUGACCAAUUGCCUUAAUGCCCUCGGCUGUUGGCAGCAGCAGUGUCAGAGGCAUCACAUACCUUGGGGGUGGAAGGGCAGGCUGGCACCUCACUCCACCCCUCACCAGCCUGGACAGUUCACCACCAGCCCCCUGUUCCUUCAGCUUUUAAAGGAAAGAUGAUCCCACUUGAAGAGACGAAGAAAUAGCUUCCCUCCACCCCCAUCAAAAUGUAAGUCCCAGGAACAUAAAUCAUGGCUCGCAGAGCAAAGCAGAGGAUCCUAGCAGAGGGAAAUGCUGAAGAGGUUCCUGAGAAGAGGCUCUGCUAACUCCUCAUGCCCCUCCUGCCUAUUAAAGGGGUCUAACCGCUCUCAUAUUGUCCCAUAGACAUACCCAAGCUCUCAUCCUCCUGUCACUUCUGAGUAAACAGCCCCCAAGUUCAGUAUCUCCAGGCCUGCAUUCUCCCAGACCAAAGUCUCCCAUCUCCAGCUGCAUCCUGGGCAUUUCUACCUGCCUGUCCAGAUACCUCAAACUCAGUGUCACAAAAUGAUCUUUCAGUUGCCUUUACUUUAUACUGUCACUGCAAAAGCUUUUAUUAAAGUAUAAUAGACAUUAAAGGGCAUAUAUUGUAAGUAUACAGCUUGGCGACUUUACAAAUUAACACACCCAGGUAGCCAGCAGCCAUGUCAAGACACAGAACAUUAUCAGAACUCCAGAGGUCCCACUUCCGCCCCCUUACAAUGAUGACUAAUACCCUGACUUCUCUCAGUCUAGCCUGUUUUUGAACUUUGUACAAAUGGGAUCAUAUCAGUCUACAGACUCUUUUGUAUCUGGCUUUUUGCUCAGCAUUGUGAGAUGCCUCCACAGCAUUCAUAGCAUGCAGGAUAGCAUGUGAGAUGAGCCUGCAUUCACAGCAUCCUUGAUGCGCGCAUAGCACUGCAGGUCACUCAUUCUCUUGCUAUGCAAAUAAAUUAUCCACUCUACUGUUAAUGGGCAAUUGGUUUUGUUCCCCCAUUUGGGGCUGUCAUAAGUAGUGCUGUGUUGAAAUUCAUGGUGCUUGUCUUUUGGUGUGAUCUUAUGUAUGCAUUUCUUUUGUGCAUAAGGAAUCACUGGGCUUUGGGUGUGCAGAUAUCAGCUCUCAUAUAUGCUGCCAGGCACGUGGUAGUUGUGUCCACGUGUGUCUCCCCUGGAGCAUGUGUGAGUUCUGGUUGCCCCACUCCCUCGCUAACACUUGAUGCCAUUUUUGUCUCACCCAUCCUUCACCCCAUGCCUCUCAUUAUCUUUUUUUCCUGCCUUAUUAUCUCACAUUUGCAGCUUUCUCCCCUCAGCAAUGCCCCACUUCAGGCCCUGUGAGCUCCCAAGUAAUCUCCC